rnacentral:rRNA from 1 species
GACGAACGCUGGCGGCGUGCCUAAUACAUGCAAGUCGAGCGCAGGAAGCCGUCUGAACCCUUCGGGGGGACGACGGUGGAAUGAGCGGCGGACGGGUGAGUAACACGUAAAGAACCUGCCCAUAGGUCUGGGAUAACCACGAGAAAUCGGGGCUAAUACCGGAUGUGUCAUCGGACCGCAUGGUCCGCUGAUGAAAGGCGCUCCGGCGUCGCCCAUGGAUGGCUUUGCGGUGCGUUAGCUAGUUGGUGGGGUAACGGCCCACCAAGGCGACGAUGCAUAGCCGACCUGAGAGGGUGAUCGGCCACACUGGGACUGAGACACGGCCCAGACUCCUACGGGAGGCAGCAGUAGGGAAUCUUCCACAAUGGACGAAAGUCUGAUGGAGCAACGCCGCGUGAACGAUGAAGGCUUUCGGGUCGUAAAGUUCUGUUGUAAGGGAAGAACAAGUGCCGCAGGCAAUGGCGGCACCUUGACGGUACCUUGCGAGAAAGCCACGGCUAACUACGUGCCAGCCGCCGCCGUAA